CCCCAGUUGAAUUCCAAGCAAACCACAGCAUGAGUCUUCUCAUUCUUCAUGUUGAUUUCUAUGUCCAUCACUUGUCGCUUGGUUCAUGAAUCCCUUCCAUCGAAUCUGCGGCAGUUCAGUUAUAUUGAAUCCAAAACAUGAACUUCGGUCAUACCCCUUUCAUUCCACUGCGUCCUCGCACUAAGUGGAAGCCAGGCUGGGCUUGGUGUGCCUUGACAGCAUCUUCAAUUUUGUGUUGUUCCCCCUUUGCACAACAUGUCUGUGACCGCUUACUGAAAUAAAACCAGAACUUUAUAUUGGAAAGCAGGUAGACAUGUGGAAGUUGGCAUUGACAAGUCAAAAGAUACCCUCAAUGGUAGGUCUAAUUGUUUCCAGGAGACUUGGUGUCUCAAGGCAGUAUGUUGUAUCGACUGCUGCUCAUUGUGGAAAGUCGAAUUGUGUGAGUUCUGUUAUAAGAAAAAACCUAAGCUUGUGGGUUUUUAUCUGUAUUCUAGAUUUUUUCUAUUCUAGCAAUAUACAAG
rnacentral:sRNA from 1 species